GUGGAAGCGGGCUUGCUCGCGAAUGCGGUGGUUCAGUCAGACCUUCGUUGACUGACACACCGCAUUCGCGAGCAAGCCCGCUCCCAC
rnacentral:misc_RNA from 1 species